ACAUACGACCACAGCCGCCAGUAAAACUCACGAUCCCGUCUGAUCUCGCACGAUAAUCUGGCGAGCGCCGGAUUAGUAGUUGGGUCGGUGACGACCAGCGAAUACCCGGUGUUGUAUGUU
rfam:Metarhizium robertsii ARSEF 23 MAA_Scf_5, whole genome shotgun sequence.